rnacentral:rRNA from 1 species
GAUGAACGCUGGCGGUCUGCUUAACACAUGCAAGUCGAACGGAAUCCUUCGGGAUUUAGUGGCGGACGGGUGAGUAACGCGUGAGAAUCUGCCUUCAGGUUCGGGACAACAGCUGGAAACGGCUGCUAAUACCGGAUGUGCCGAGAGGUGAAAGCUUUAGUGCCUGAAGAUGAGCUCGCGUCUGAUUAGCUAGUAGGAGUGGUAAUGGCACCCCUAGGCGACGAUCAGUAGCUGGUCUGAGAGGAUGAUCAGCCACACUGGGACUGAGACACGGCCCAGACUCCUACGGGAGGCAGCAGUGGGGAAUUUUCCGCAAUGGGCGCAAGCCUGACGGAGCAAGACCGCGUGAGGGAAGAAGGUCUGUGGAUUGUAAACCUCUUUUGAUGGGGAAGAAGACAGUGACGGUACCCAUCGAAUCAGCCUCGGCUAACUCCGUGCCAGCCGCCGCCGUAA